rnacentral:rRNA from 1 species
UCGAACGAUGAAGCCCUUCGGGGUGGAUUAGUGGCGAACGGGUGAGUAACACGUGGGCAAUCUGCCCUUCACUCUGGGACAAGCCCUGGAAACGGGGUCUAAUACCGGAUAAUACUCCUGCCUGCAUGGGUGGGGGUUGAAAGCUCCGGCGGUGAAGGAUGAGCCCGCGGCCUAUCAGCUUGUUGGUGGGGUAAUGGCCCACCAAGGCGACGACGGGUAGCCGGCCUGAGAGGGCGACCGGCCACACUGGGACUGAGACACGGCCCAGACUCCUACGGGAGGCAGCAGUGGGGAAUAUUGCACAAUGGGCGAAAGCCUGAUGCAGCGACGCCGCGUGAGGGAUGACGGCCUUCGGGUUGUAAACCUCUUUCAGCAGGGAAGAAGCGAAAGUGACGGUACCUGCAGAAGAAGCGCCGGCUAACUACGUGCCAGCAGCCGCGGUAAUACGUAGGGCGCAAGCGUUGUCCGGAAUUAUUGGGCGUAAAGAGCUCGUAGGCGGCUUGUCACGUCGGAUGUGAAAGCCCGAGGCUUAACCUCGGGUCUGCAUUCGAUACGGGCUAGCUAGAGUGUGGUAGGGGAGAUCGGAAUUCCUGGUGUAGCGGUGAAAUGCGCAGAUAUCAGGAGGAACACCGGUGGCGAAGGCGGAUCUCUGGGCCAUUACUGACGCUGAGGAGCGAAAGCGUGGGGAGCGAACAGGAU